AAUAGAUACCCAGGUAGUCCACGCCGUAAACGAUGAGUGCUAAGUGUUGGGGGGUUUCCGCCCCUCAGUGCUGCAGCUAACGCAUUAAGCACUCCGCCUGGGGAGUACGGUCGCAAGACUGAAACUCAAAGGAAUUGACGGGGGCCCGCACAAGCGGUGGAGCAUGUGGUUUAAUUCGAAGCAACGCGAAGAACCUUACCAGGUCUUGACAUCCCGGUGACCACUAUGGGGACAUAGUUUCCCCUUCGGGGGCAACGGUGACAGGUGGUGCAUGGUUGUCGUCAGCUCGUGUCGUGAGAUGUUGGGUUAAGUCCCGCAACGAGCGCAACCCUUAUUCUUAGUUGCCAUCAUUUAGUUGGGCACUCUAAGGAGACUGCCGGUGAUAAACCGGAGGAAGGUGGGGAUGACGUCAAAUCAUCAUGCCCCUUAUGACCUGGGCUACACACGUGCUACAAUGGACGGUACAAACGGUUGCCAACCCGCGAGGGGGAGCUAAUCCGAUAAAACCGUUCUCAGUUCGGAUUGUAGGCUGCAACUCGCCUACAUGAAGCC
rnacentral:rRNA from 1 species